rnacentral:tRNA from 1 species
CGUGAGGUAGGGCAGGAAGAAGAGGCCCUCUCCGCCCGGGCCGGCGAUCGCCGCCUCGGCGGUGAGGAGGUAGUAGGGAUCGACCCCCUGCUCCUUGGCC